AGUCCUGCCUGAUUUGCAAAUGUAAAAACUGGCAGAGCCUUCAAAGAGCAGCACAUAACUGCAUCAGAGUGAUGCCAAAGUGAUUUCAGAAUGGAUUCACUUCCUUCACUUUUGAGUAGUUCCACGCCUAGAUAGCACCUAUAGCUUUGACAUAUCCAACGUGCAAGUGUAUGCGCUUCGGGAGUUCCAGGUGGUGGCCGGAAACCAACAUGGGAACCAAAACGAGAAGGGGAAAGGGCCAAUGCCACCCUUUGAACUGAGGCAAUAACACUACGGACAUACUGCCGAGACAUGGAUGCCACAUUUUCUUGGAGGUGGAGUUCAAAUGCAAAUUGGAAUGCUAU
rnacentral:misc_RNA from 1 species